rnacentral:rRNA from 1 species
GACGAACGCUGGCGGCGUGCUUAACACAUGCAAGUCGAGCGGUAAGGCCCUUUCGGGGUACACGAGCGGCGAACGGGUGAGUAACACGUGGGUGACCUGCCCUCAGCUCUGGGAUAAGCCUGGGAAACCGGGUCUAAUACUGGAUAUGACUCCAUGACGCAUGUUGUGGGGUGGAAAGCCUUGUGCGGCUGAGGAUGGGCCCGCGGCCUAUCAGCUUGUUGGUGGGGUGANGGCCUACCAAGGCGACGACGGGUAGCCGGCCUGAGAGGGCGACCGGCCACACUGGGACUGAGACACGGCCCAGACUCCUACGGGAGGCAGCAGUGGGGAAUAUUGGACAAUGGGCGCAAGCCUGAUCCAGCGAUGCCGCGUGUGUGAAGAAGGCCUGCGGGUUGUAAAGCACUUUCAGUAGGGAAGAAAGCCGAGUGCUAAUAUCACUCGGUCUUGACGUUACUUACAGAAGAAGCACCGGCUAACUCCGUGCCA